UUUUACCACGGCUCAGAGAACACGGCGGAACAAAUUGAUCAUUUCCGGAUAUUCAUUCCCGUUUAUAUAGAUUUCAGGAAGCUAUAGUAGUAUUCUAACAUAUAUGGAGCUAUUUAGAAAAAGAAAAAAAAAAAUCUGGUCACACACACGCGCCCCAAGAGCAGUAACCUUACGUUGGCUGUCACUCCUCCCGAUCCAGGAAUUACUGUCAACAGCACUGUAGUUCAGUGGAGUCAGUGCCGCGAGGAAAAGCAGGAGCCGCAACAGUCGUAUAAUUCUUACUGUGGACGAAGCACGUGUUGCCUUUUAGCUGUGUGGGAAGGGGGACCGUAUGAGAGAUGCGCCUUUUUUUCGUGCUGUCUCUUAUCUGUCUAACGUUGAGGUUCCGGUCGACUCGUCUCAGUCAAGAUCUCGUUCACUUUCGGUGUCCUUCGAAAUUCCCAGAAUCCACAGGACUUCUAAGGAGAAUAGCGCUCGACUGUGCAACGGAAAAGACCUUUCGUAUAUAGAUUAGAGCAACUACGCUGACCUUAUGUGCCCAUACUCUUAUGUACAACAGUGUUUUAUUCUGUUCUCCCAUACUCAUUUGUCAUUAUGUUUAGAAAUGUUUAUAUUUUUCUAAUAAAAUGAUAGUACUAAUC